UCGCUCAGGCCUCUCCUCAUACAUACGCACCAAUCUUUCGCCUUUUACUAAAGAUUGCCGUGGGGAGAGGCGCUACAAUAUGAGCCAACAGGCGAAUUUAUGAAAGGCCCUGUCCGCUUGGACGGGG